AGCGAACGCUGGCGGCAGGCCUAACACAUGCAAGUCGAACGAACCCUUCGGGGUUAGUGGCGGACGGGUGAGUAACACGUGGGAACGUGCCUUUAGGUUCGUACUAACUCAGGGAAACUUGUGCUAAUACCGAAUGUGCCCUUCGGGGGAAAGAUUUAUCGCCUUUAGAGCGGCCCGCGUCUGAUUAGCUAGUUGGUGAGGUAAUGGCUCACCAAGGCUACGAUCAGUAGCUGGUCUGAGAGGAUGACCAGCCACAUUGGGACUGAGACACGGCCCAAACUCCUACGGGAGGCAGCAGUGGGGAAUCUUGCGCAAUGGGCGAAAGCCUGACGCAGCCAUGCCGCGUGGAUGAUGAAGGUCUUAGGAUUGUAAAAUCCUUUCACCGGUGAAGAUAAUGACUGUAGCCGGAGAAGAAGCCCCGGCUAACUUCGUGCCAGCCGCCGCGGUAAUAC
rnacentral:rRNA from 1 species